CAGUCGCCGCGGUAAUACAGAGGGUGCGAGCGUUAAUCGGAUUUACUGGGCGUAAAGCGUGCGUAGGCGGCUUUUUAAGUCGGAUGUGAAAUCCCUGAGCUUAACUUAGGAAUUGCAUUCGAUACUGGGAAGCUAGAGUAUGGGAGAGGAUGGUAGAAUUCCAGGUGUAGCGGUGAAAUGCGUAGAGAUCUGGAGGAAUACCGAUGGCGAAGGCAGCCAUCUGGCCUAAUACUGACGCUGAGGUACGAAAGCAUGGGGAGCAAACAGGAUUAGAUACCCCGGUAGUCCCUGUCUCUUUACA
rnacentral:rRNA from 1 species